GUGCCAGCAGCCGCGGUAAUACGUAGGUGGCAAGCGUUAUCCGGAAUUAUUGGGCGUAAAGCGCGCGCAGGUGGUUUCUUAAGUCUGAUGUGAAAGCCCACGGCUCAACCGUGGAGGGUCAUUGGAAACUGGGAGACUUGAGUGCAGAAGAGGAAAGUGGAAUUCCAUGUGUAGCGGUGAAAUGCGUAGAGAUAUGGAGGAAACCAAGUGGCGAAUGGGACUUUCUG
rnacentral:rRNA from 1 species